UAUGUGGCCCAAAUCGCUUAUUUUAUGAAUACUUUUGCAAUAUUGAAGAUAGCAACUUGAUAUUUGGCAUGCAUGUGUAUCUUAUGGAGCUGCACAUUUUGAGUGUUGAAAGGUCAAGGUCAGAGGUCAAAUAUAUGUGGCCCAAAUCGCUUAUUUUAUGAAUACUUUUGCAAUAUUGAAGAUAGCAACUUGAUAUUUGGCAUGCACAUGCAUCUCAUGGAGCUGCACAUUUUGAGUGGUGAAAGGUCAAGGUCAAGGUCAUCCUUCACAAGUUCAAGGUCAUCCUUCAAAGUCAAACGUCAUAUAGGGGGACAUUGUGUUUCACAAACGCAUCUUGUUU